rfam:Schizophyllum commune H4-8 unplaced genomic scaffold SCHCOscaffold_8, whole genome shotgun sequence.
GCCCGCCUAGCUCAAUCGGAUAGAGCGUCAGACUCUUACGUUAGGCGGUCCGUUGCCGGCGAAUCUGAAGGCUGCGAGUUCGACCCUCGCGGUGGGCU